rnacentral:rRNA from 1 species
UACGUAGGGCGCAAGCGUUGUCCGGAAUUAUUGGGCGUAAAGAGCUCGUAGGCGGUCUGUUGCGUCCGCUGUGAAACUCGGGGCUUAACCCCGAGCCUGCAGUGGAUACGGGCAGACUAGAGGUAGGUAGGGGAGAAUGGAAUUCCCGGUGUAGCGGUGAAAUGCGCAGAUAUCAGGAAGAACACCCGUGGCUAAGGCGGCUCUCUAGUACGGUACUGACGCUGAGACGCGAAAGCGUGGGGAGCGAACAGG